rnacentral:rRNA from 1 species
AGACUGGAAUUCCUGGUGUAGCGGUGGAAUGCGCAGAUAUCAGGAGGAACACCGAUGGCGAAGGCAGGUCUCUGGGCUGUAACUGACGCUGAGAAGCGAAAGCAUGGGGAGCGAACAGGAUUAGAUACCCUGGUAGUCCAUGCCGUAAACGUUGGGCACUAGGUGUGGGGGACAUUCCACGUUUUCCGCGCCGUAGCUAACGCAUUAAGUGCCCCGCCUGGGGAGUACGGCCGCAAGGCUAAAACUCAAAGAAAUUGACGGGGGCCCGCACAAGCGGCGGAGCAUGCGGAUUAAUUCGAUGCAACGCGAAGAACCUUACCAAGGCUUGACAUAUACUGGACUGCGUCAGAGAUGGCGUUUCCCUUCGGGGCUGGUAUACAGGUGGUGCAUGGUUGUCGUCAGCUCGUGUCGUGAGAUGUUGGGUUAAGUCCCGCAACGAGCGCAACCCUCGUUCUAUGUUGCCAGCACGUGAUGGUGGGGACUCAUAGGAGACUGCCGGGGUCAACUCGGAGGAAGGUGGGGAUGACGUCAAAUCAUCAUGCCCCUUAUGUCUUGGGCUUCACGCAUGCUACAAUGGCCGGUACAGAGGGUUGCGAUACUGUGAGGUGGAGCUAAUCCCUAAAAGCCGGUCUCAGUUCGGAUUGGGGUCUGCAACUCGACCCCAUGAAGUCGGAGUCGCUAGUAAUCGCAGAUCAGCAACGCUGCGGUGAAUACGUUCCCGGGCCUUGUACACACCGCCCGUCAAGUCACGAAAGUUGGUAACACCCGAAGCCGGUG